GCGGGCCACGGCUAGAUCAUGCCAGCAUAGUGGAACAAAACAAAAUCAGACAGGCGCAAAACACAGACUCGAUCACAACACUUUAAAUAUUCAUCAUAUUCAGACCGCCAGUCUGUGCCAAGUAGAGUGACCAAUGGCUACUUCAUUGGAUACUCAAGACUCUCCAGGGGUCAGUGCAUAUGUCACCUAUUUCCUCGCUGCGGUCAUCGGCCUGCUGGUCUUCUACUACUAUAAAAAAAUGACCCAAGGAGACGAGUGGAUAAGACUUGGGGUCAAAUGUCCGAGAUUGUCUCCGUUCUUUUUCUUUGGAGAGGA
rnacentral:sRNA from 1 species